rnacentral:tRNA from 1 species
UCGGGGGUCGUCCAAUGGUAGGACAGAGGCCUUUGAAGCCUUUAAUCGGGGUUCGAAUCCCUGCCCCCGAACCA